AUGUUUAAUAAUUUACAGGACGCGGAUCAACCUGUUCAUAUAAACAAAAAUAAUAACAAUCAUAUUUGUUUAUUAACGUCUGACGAACAAGUUAAAAAUAAACAAUCUUUAAAGAAUGAUAAACAAUGUGAAAAUAAAAAAAAAAGUAAAAAGAAAAAAAAAUGGAAAUUUAAAAAGUUAAUAAGGUUUAGAAAGAAAAAAAAAAAUGUAGAGAAAAAUGAACUCCCCGUUGAUGAUGUUACUAAAAUAAAUACUAACAUGAUUCAUAAUUCAACAAAUGAUUUAACAAAUGAACAGAUUAAUCAAUCAAUUAACACCUUGAACAAUAAGUCAAAUUCUGAGUAUGGAACAUUUUCCCAAAAUAAACAAAAUUUUAUAAUAUAUAAAGUACCUAAAUAUUUAAAAAAAAAAAACAUUCAAUGCCCAUUUGUUUAUAGAAAUGUAUUUUAUGGUAAAUAUGGGAUUAUAAAUUAUGAUUUGAGAGGAAAUAAAAAAGGGGUUUUAGUUAUUACUUUUCAUGGUUUGAAUGGGACUAAUGUAACAUUUUUUAAUAUACAAAAAAUGCUAAUAAAAUAUAAAUUUUUAGUUCUUAAUUUUGAUUUAUAUGGGCAUGGUUUGUCUGCUUGUCCAAAAUAUAAUCAUAAAAAAAAAACUUACUGUUUAGAUUUUUUUAUUUCUCAAACAGAAGAAUUAUUAACUUAUCUCAAUUUGAUGGAUAAACAAUUUUAUUUAAUUGGUUUUUCUAUGGGAUGUGUUAUUGCAACGAGCUUUGCUAAAAAAUAUAUAAAUCAAGUAAAAAAAAUUCUUUUAAUAUCUCCUGUUGGAGUGUUAGAAAAAAAACCAUUUUUAGUAAAAAUAAUAAAAGUAUUUCCUUGUUUAAUCAAUUUAUCUUCUUUUAUUGCUGUACCAUAUUUUAUUUCAAAAAAAAAAAAAAAAAAUGAUGACCCUACACAAGAUAAUACUGAUUAUUUUUAUAAUAGAAUUAUGUGGCAAGUUUUAGUAAAAAAAAAUAUUACUCAUUCUCUUUUAGGAUGUAUUAACAAUUUAAAAAUGUGGAGUGCACAUAACAUAUUUAAAGAAGUAGGUAUUCAUAACAUACCUGUACUUAUUCUAGGUGGGGAAAAAGAUACUAUAUGUAAUGUUGAAGUAUUUAAAAAUACUAGUAAAUUCUUUACUAAUUGCCAUUUGAUUAUAUUUAAACAUGCUUCCCAUUUAGUUAUAACAGAAAAAAAUAAUGAAAUUAAUUAUUGUGCCCUUAACUUUUUUCUUAUUCCAAAUAAUUCGGAUUUGAAAUUAUAUAAUCAUUUAUUCCCUUCAUCAUGA
rnacentral:lncRNA from 1 species